rnacentral:rRNA from 1 species
AACGCUAGCUACAGGCUUAACACAUGCAAGUCGAGGGGAAACGACAUCGAAAGCUUGCUUUUGAUGGGCGUCGACCGGCGCACGGGUGAGUAACGCGUAUCCAACCUGCCCACCACUUGGGGAUAACCUUGCGAAAGUAAGACUAAUACCCAAUGAUAUCCCACGAAGGCAUCCGAAUGGGAUUAAAGAUUUAUCGGUGAUGGAUGGGGAUGCGUCUGAUUAGCUUGUUGGCGGGGUAACGGCCCACCAAGGCGACGAUCAGUAGGGGUUCUGAGAGGAAGGUCCCCCACAUUGGAACUGAGACACGGUCCAAACUCCUACGGGAGGCAGCAGUGAGGAAUAUUGGUCAAUGGCCGUAAGGCUGAACCAGCCAAGUAGCGUGCAGGAUGACGGCCCUAUGGGUUGUAAACUGCUUUUAAACGGGGAUAAAGUGAGCCACGUGUGGUUUAUUGCAGGUACCGUUUGAAUAAGGACCGGCUAAUUCCGUGCCAGCAGCCGCGGUAAUACGGAAGGUCCAGGCGUUAUCCGGAUUUAUUGGGGUUAAAGGGAGCGUAGGCGGAGCGUCAAGCCAGCAGUGAAAUGUAGCGGCCCAACCGCUGCACUGCUGUUGGAACUGGCGCCCUUGAGUGCACACGAGGUAUGCGGAAUUUGUGGUGUAGCGGUGAAAUGCUUAGAUAUCACGAAGAACUCCGAUUG